rnacentral:rRNA from 1 species
UACGUAGGGUGCGAGCGUUGUCCGGAUUUAUUGGGCGUAAAGAGCUUGUAGGCGGCUCGUCACGUCGGGUGUGAAAACUCGCGGCUCAACCGCGAGCCUGCACCCGAUACGGGCGGGCUAGAGUUCGGCAGGGGAGACUGGAAUUCCUGGUGUAGCGGUGGAAUGCGCAGAUAUCAGGAGGAACACCGGUGGCGAAGGCGGGUCUCUGGGCCGAUACUGACGCUGAGAAGCGAAAGCGUGGGGAGCGAGCAGG